rnacentral:tRNA from 1 species
GGCGGGAACCCAUAAUUUCGGCCUUCUGAUACCAAUGGAUCUGACCAUACUUCUUCGUGCUCAUAACCCGAAGGUCGGGAGUUCAAAUCUCCCCCCCGCUACCA